UUGCCCCCAGUAACGGCGAGUGAAGCGGCAACAGCUCAAAUUUGAAAUCUGGCCUCGGCCCGAGUUGUAAUUUGCAGAGGAAGCUUUAGGCGCGGCACCAUCUGAGUCCCCUGGAACGGGGCGCCACAGAGGGUGAGAGCCCCGUAUAGAUGGACGCCUAGCCUGUGUAAAGCUCCUUCGACGAGUCGAGUAGUUUGGGAAUGCUGCUCAAAAUGGGAGGUAAAUUUCUUCUAAAGCUAAAUACCGGCCAGAGACCGAUAGCGCACAAGUAGAGUGAUCGAAAGAUGAAAAGCACUUUGAAAAGAGGGUUAAAUAGCACGUGAAAUUGUUGAAAGGGAAGCGCUUGUGACCAGACUUGCGCCGGGCGGAUCAUCCGGUGUUCUCACCGGUGCACUCCGCCCGGCUCAGGCCAGCAUCGGUUCUCGCGGGGGGAUAAAGGCACCGGGAACGUAGCUCCCUCGGGAGUGUUAUAGCCCGGGGCGUAAUGCCCUCGCGGGGACCGAGGACCGCGCUUCGGCAAGGAUGCUGGCGUAAUGGUCAUCAGCGACCCGUCUUGAAACACGGACCAAGGAGUCAAGGUUUUGCGCGAGUGUUUGGGUGUAAAACCCGCACGCGUAAUGAAAGUGAACGUAGGUGAGAGCUUCGGCGCAUCAUCGACCGAUCCUGAUGUUUUCGGAUGGAUUUGAGUAGGAGCGUUAAGCCUUGGACCCGAAAGAUGGUGAACUAUGCUUGGAUAGGGUGAAGCCAGAGGAAACUCUGGUGGAGGCUCGCAGCGGUUCUGACGUGCAAAUCGAUCGUCAAAUCUGAGCAU
rnacentral:rRNA from 1 species